AUGUCUAGCAGAAGGUCAAGACAACAAUCUUCUUCUUCAAGAAUUUCUGAUGACCAAAUCAUCGAACUUGUUUCUAAGUUGCGUCAACUUGUUCCUGAAAUUCGUCAUAGGCGUUCAGACAAGGUAUCAGCAUCUAAGGUCCUACAAGAGACUUGUAACUACAUAAGAAACUUACACAGAGAAGUUGAUGAUUUAAGUGAAAGAUUGUCUCAGUUAUUGGUUACAAUUGAUGCUGAUAGUCCAGAGGCUAAUAUUAUAAGAAGCUUAAUUAAUCAAUGA